rnacentral:rRNA from 1 species
GACGAACGCUGGCGGCGUGCUUAACACAUGCAAGUCGAACGGAAAGGCCCUGCUUGCGGGGUGCUCGAGUGGCGAACGGGUGAGUAACACGUGGGUGAUCUGCGCUCCACUUCGGGAUAAGCCUGGAAAACUGGGUGUAAUAUCGGAUAGGAGCCCUUCUGCUUGUGAUGGUUGGAAGGUUUUUUGGGUCUGGGGUGGGCUCCCGGCCUUUUAGUCUGCUGGUGGGGUAAUUGCCUGCCAAGGCGGCGACGGGGAGCCGGCCUGGGGGGGUGGACGGCCAACUUGGGGCUGGGAUACGGGCCAGGCUCCUACGGGGGGCAGCAGGGGGGAAAAUUGCACAAAGGGCGGAAACCUGGUGCAGCGAAGGCGCGUGGGGGAUGACGGGCUUCGGGUUGGAAACUCGUUUCGCUAGGGACGAAGCUGUUUGUGACGGUACCUGGAUAAGAAGCACCGGCUAACUACGUG